rnacentral:rRNA from 1 species
UACGAAGGGGGCUAGCGUUGUUCGGAAUUACUGGGCGUAAAGCGCGCGCAGGCGGUCUUCCAAGUCAGUGGUGAAAGCCCGGAGCUCAACUCCGGAACUGCCAUUGAAACUGUGAGACCUGAGGAUGAGAGAGGUGAGUGGAAUUCCCAGUGUAGAGGUGAAAUUCGUAGAUAUUGGGAAGAACACCGGUGGCGAAGGCGGCUCACUGGCUCAUAUCUGACGCUCAGGCGCGACAGCGUGGGGAUCAAACAGG